UUGGCUAAAUAGUUUAGAAACCAACCACAUCUUUUCAAAUUUCCCCAUUCCCAACACUCUCCCCUCCGGAUUCCUCCCUCACUCUCAGACUCUCAGCUCUGAACUUCAUCUCACUCCCACGCUCGUCGUCGUCGCCCACGCUCAUCGUUGCCGUCAGUUGAUUUCCUUGAUAUCCUCGUCGUUCAGAUCCACCAUUUGGCAUUCACAUCUGUUCACCCUCGUUGCCAACACAGUUCCGGAACGAAGCACAUUGCAAUGGCGUUUUCUCUUCUAGUUUUCUUAUUCUUAUUACCUAAUUCGAGAGUCGAAGAAGUACCGUUCGGUAUCAAUUAGCAUCUGUCGACUGUUGCCAGGUGAUUUCCUACUUGUGGAGAGCUCUUUUUUUCUCGGUCGCCAAGCCCUUUGACAUUCCAAGAAAGAAUAAUCAUAUAAGAGGGAUGAUCCGACCUUGCUGUGUGGAGGAGGAGGUUCAUCAUAGAUUAUUGAGGAGAUGAGCCACGGUAGGAGAAACUUCAGACAUAUAGUAAGACCUCCACAGGAUUCAUCUUCAGGUUCUGUCCAACUAUGUAUUUGUCAAGGUGGGGUUGAGGGUUGGGCGUGAGAUUUUGAUAUGUGGAAACAAGGUGUUGAGGAUUACAGGAAGGAUCAGGAACCUGAAGUUGACAAGCUCAAGGAACCUGUACUGAUGAUAUAACUAAGUCACUCACUGAACGUUAUGGCCUAAAUUUUACACGACAGUACAUUUCAUCUCUUGGGUUUCUCUGUAAGCAGGAGACAUCCUUAUUGGAAAUAACAGAUCAAGCUUGUGGACUGUUCAGCUCUUUCGAGAGAGAAGCUAAAGAAAACCUCGGUAGCUUGAUCGAAAAGGAUCAAUGGGCUUGGAAGAUGGCUAAAACAGGAGAAACCUUAAGGAUGAGGAGUUUGAGGAAUGGAUGGAUCUAAUGGAAUGUCUCAAUGGAUUCCAGUUCAACACAUCGAAGGAUAAAUGGAUUUGGCAACUGGACAAAAAAGCAAUAUGGGAGGACUUUUAUCCCAAGAAGAUCAAAUUCUUCCAUAGGGAAGUUAGCCAUAACGCCAUCAACACUUGUGAUAGGGUCCAAAGAAAGUUCUCUCACAUGACUCUCUUCUCAUUGUUGUAUCAUUUGCAAAUCUGAUUUUGACUCUCCUAGCAACCUAUUUAUCCACUGCCAAUAUGCCGUUGGUUUUUCGAAGGAGAUUUUCUUCUCUUUUGGUUGGCUCACUGCAUUGUCCAAUGACAUUAUCAAUCUCCUCUCUUAUGCUUUCAAUGGACACCCCUUCACCAACAAGAAGAAGAUCAUGUGAAUGCAUCUUAUUCGCGCCUUUUUAUGGGUUACAUGGAAGGAGAGAAACAAUCGUCUAUUCAAUGAAAAGGGCCGUUCUUUUGAUAGUUUUUUUUUAUCUUAUUAUCUUUUAUGCUAUGACUUGGUGCAAAUGUACAUAUUUCUAUAGUUCUUACAAUUUAUCAUCUCUUCUGACCAAUUGGAGAAGUAUUUUGUAACUCGUUUGGUAUAGGCUUCGGUCUUGUAAAUUUCAUACAUCAAUAAAAUUUGUUUCUUAUAAAAAAUAAUAAAAUAAAUAACUUGUUUUUUUUUUUUGGGAAUUUGACAAAGAAUUCAAAUGUUUGUUUAACGAAUGUGAACCGUGGUGUAAGGAAACUAAUGAGAAAACAUACAUAAAUUUCAAAAAUAGAAAACUAAAAGCAAAAUUCUUAUCGAUCAUUGGAUUCUUGAUGGUGAAUUGUGGAUUUUCAUCCCAAAGUUUUCUAUUAUUCACUUUUCCUGCUGACCUUUAAGCUUGGUCAUAUCACAGUUCUUAUAAAUCUUUUGUAUUUGGAUGAAUAGGGUUGUGACGGUUUGGAUUUUUGCUCGUUUAAAGUGUUCAAGAUACAAUUACCUUCUCCAUUUUCAAACACACAAGUAUUUUGUUACCUCGGAAUGAUAAUCUUAAAACAUGUUCCUCU